rnacentral:lncRNA from 1 species
AGCUUGCUUGACUGUAAAGAAGAACGAACUGCACUUUUUCUGGACACUUCAUCACCGGGACAAUCAGAUACACUAAGUUUGCUUGGUGACAGCCCUGGUGAGGUAAUGCUUUUUCUAGCCUUGUUGUGAAUCUUUGGAGAAGAACAUAACGUAGGGUCUUGCAUUGGUGACAGGUGCGGGGAGGCACUAACUGAUAGAAAAGAUUUCCUGUCAGACACAAGGUCUUGAUCAACUUUUGUACUGGACAACACUUCAUGCUCUUCCUGAAUCGG